UUUUUCCUUUAUUUCUAUUUC
rnacentral:piRNA from 1 species